rnacentral:rRNA from 1 species
UACGUAGGGUGCAAGCGUUGUCCGGAAUUAUUGGGCGUAAAGGGCUCGUAGGCGGUUUGUCGCGUCGGGAGUGAAAUCCACUGGCUUAACUGGUGGCUUGCUUUCGAUACGGGCAGACUGGAGGUAUGCAGGGGAGAACGGAAUUCCUGGUGUAGCGGUGAAAUGCGCAGAUAUCAGGAGGAACACCCGUGGCGAAGGCGGCUCUCUGGUACGUGACUGACGCUGAGACGCGAAAGCGUGGGGAGCGAACAGG